rnacentral:misc_RNA from 1 species
AAGACUAUAGACCUGCGGAGUACCUGCGGAAGGAUCAUUAUCGAGUGUAAUCUACCCCUUAAAAAAGGGUAGUACCCUCCCGUCCUUUGCAGGCCCCUUUUAUUGGGGGCUUUUUAAGACUUUCUGCUUCGGCGGGGUUACUCCCGCCGGAACACCCUCAAAAAACUCUCAAAAAAAUCGUUCAGUCCGAGAACUUUUUUAAUAUAAAAAAAACUUUUAACAAUGGAUCUCUAGAUCGGA